rnacentral:lncRNA from 1 species
AUGUACGAACAAUCUCACCCGCAUCCCCGCUCGAGUCGCAGUCUGGCCGUUCACAGCCAGGAUGAAAUGGAUCAACAUCGCCGAGGUCUAAGUGACGUUGAACUUGAUGGACGAGGGGCUAAACUUAGCCAGUCAUCUUGUCAUGUCAGCCAAAGACCACACCCCCUCGCUCAAGUCACUCCUCUCUCUCCUUCCCUUCACCAGUCCACCCCCUGGUCAAAGUUUCGAUCUGCUUCCACAUCCAUGAUGGAGGACACGAGGGGGGGACGUAACGGCACUCAGCGCCAGGCCCAAAGGUUAGCCGGUGUCUACGCCAACCGCUCACGACGCAGACCAAACCCACAGCCGUACCCAGAUGAGCCCCAGCAGCUGGUUCUUCUCUACCCCAACAGUCCUGGGCGCCAGUAUCACCCUGUCCUCCCAUCAUUCCCAUUUACUGCCCCCCCACCACUGAACAGACACCCUUACUUGACGGAUUAUGUUGCCAUUUCUUCACUGGAGCGUUUCCCAUCUGUGGGGAGGAGGGACUAUUUCCCGAUAGACAGCGUCUCACGGCCUGCCUUCUACCCACUGGGCCAAGACUCACCAUCCAUCUCGCCCAUCAGGAGGAACUUCCGCCCAUGUGGUUCAGGUGGACUGGGACUGGCAAGGGUCUACCAGGCUGGAAGCAAUGGAGCCAGGUUUUUAGGUGCCGGACACACGGAGGCGGGGCAUUACAGCGACGACUCAAACUUCCUCCCUGGGCUGCCUCGACGUGAGGCGAGGCAGCCAGAUGUCAAGUUCCACCUCUCAAGGAGUUCAAACCCAACUUUUAACCCUGCCUCUGAGUUUCGACCUCUCGGUUACUACCCUCACCUGACACGGCCCUCCAGACCCACUUACCUCCCCCUGAACUCCUCCCCCCUGCCCGAACGGCCCACCUCAAUGUGUAUGAUCAGCAGGAGCACAGGGAGCUACAGCGACUCCGACCCAGAGGUCUUCUACCCAUAUUACUGCCCACCUCAUCAACUGAGGAAUGUGGCACGGUCCGCCGGACUGGCCAGGAUGAGGUUUUCCUCUGGAAGCCUUCAACUGGAUGAGGAGGAAGAGAGAGAGGAGGAAGAGCCUAAAACAGACUUAAAACGUGACCAGAACAAGACAGAAACUAGUGAAGGGGGGGAUGAAACAAAGGGAGCCGCAAAGAUUACCCAAGUCACUCUUUAA